rnacentral:rRNA from 1 species
UGGAUAAUAAGUCCUACCUGCCCGUGAUUUUUUUCAACGGCCAUCUUAGAUGAUAACGUAGCAUAAUCAAUUGUCUAUCAAUUGUAGACUAGAAUGAAUGGAUUAACGAAAGCCGAACUGUCUCCUACUUCCUAUCAAUGAAAUUAACCUCUCUGUCCAAAGGCAGAGAUUGGCCUAUAAGACGAAAAGACCCUAAAAGCUUCAAAUAUUAGAUUAAUCUACCUUAAACAACAACUAAAGAAAAGUUUUAAUUCUUAAAAAUUUGGUUGGGGCAACCGUUGAUACUAAAAAAUCAUCAAUAAUUUAACUAAAAACUUAUAUAAUAUUAGAAUCACAUUUCAAUUAAGUAAGAAACUUAUAAAAAUGACCCAGAAAUCUGAUCAAUGAACAAGUUACUUUAGGGAUAACAGCGCUAUUUCUUUUUAAAGUUCCCAUCGACAAAGAAGCUUACGACCUCGAUGUUGGAUUAAGAUAAGUGGCGCAAAAGCUACUAAUGGUUCGUUUGUUCAACGAAUAAUAUCUUACGUGAUCUGAGUUCAAACC